AUUGAACGCUGGGCGGCAGGCUUUACACAUGCAAGUCGAGCGGUACAUUUCUAGCUUGCUAGAAGAUGACGAGCGGCGGACGGGUGAGUAAUACUUAGGAAUCUACCUAGUAGUGGGGGGAUAGCUCGGGGAAACUCGAAUUUAUACCGCAUACGACUACGGGAGAAAGGGGGGCAACUUGGUUGCUCUCGCUAUUAGAUGAGCCUAAGUCGGAUUAGCUAGAUGGUGGGGGUAAAGGCCUACCAUGGCGACGAUCUGUAGCUGGUCUGAGAGGAUGAUCAGCCACACCCGGGACUGAGACACGGGCCCGGACUCCUACGGGAGGCAGCAGUGGGGAAUAUUGGACAAUGGGGGAAACCCUGAUCCAGCCAUGCCGCGUGUGUGAAGAAGGCCUUUUGGUUGUAAAGCACUUUAAGCAGUGAAGAAGACUCUUCGGUUAAUACCCGGAGACGAUGACAUUAGCUGCAGAAAUAAGCACCGGCUAACUCUGUGCCAGCAGCCGCGGUAAUACAGAGGGUGCAAGCGUUAAUCGGAAUUACUGGGCGUAAAGCGAGCGUAGGUGGCUUGAUAAGUCAGAUGUGAAAUCCCCGGGCUUAACCUGGGAACUGCAUCUGAUACUGGUUAGGGCUAGAGUAGGGGAGAGGGAAGUAGAUUUCCAGGUGUAGCGGGUGAAAUGCGUAGAGAUCUGGGAGGAAUUACGAUGGCCGAAGGGCAGCCUCUGGCCAUCAUACUGACACUGAGCUCGAAAAGCGUGGUAGCAAACCAGG
rnacentral:rRNA from 1 species